CGGUCCGUUCCCCCAUACGGAUCCGUAAGACACAACAAGCCUCGGGCUUGUUUGGCUCGAUUUUUUCCCGAGAUAGUUCUCGGUGGGGAACCUAGCACUGGUUGGCUUUCGCGUCGUACCCACGUUCACAUACUCAACAUAUUACUACACACAGACGUACCAGCUUCGCUCAUGGAUCCAAUACGUGCGUAAACUUCUUGUAGACCUGCUUGUGUAGCAGCCUCCCGGUGAGCCUUCUCAGAAAGAGAUGAAACGGCAAGGACAUGACGAGUGGAGAGGCAGUGGCAUCCCACGGGUGUCUCUUCUCGAUCUCUUCCGUUUGGCCUCAGGCCUUUCGCUCUCGUUCCUGUUCUUCGGUCUCUCUCUCUCUCUGUGUCUGUUUCUCUGUCUUUUCACAUGCACCCACCACCCCCCGUGAGGAACAUGGGCCCAAUUUUGCUUCUCACUUGGAGAUCCAUUAGCCAGGAGGCUGAAGAGGAGGAGGAGACCGACCAUAGGCGAGAGGACGAGGACGCAGAGAGCUCUCGCUCCAUCCUGCUCCUCUUCUCUUUUCUCGUCAUCCUCGUCUUGUUCUCGAAGGCUGCAGGCUAAAAUGAUGAGCUUGGGAGAGGCCAGCAGUUGUUUGAGGAAAUCAGAUGCUAAUGCUUUCUCAUGCACUAAGACCAAAUAAUCCUAUAGAGUUGACACAAUUGUCGUUAGGGACAAAUUCCCUUUUAUCCUGGCUUGUCUCGGGGAGAAAGGCUACCUACGAUCGGCACAAAGUUCCUUCGCCUUGGGCGUGGGUGCGUGGGUGGGUGAUUGGGAGAAUGCAUGCAUGCAUGUUCGUACCGAGGGUAGUAUGUAUGUAAUGGUAACGUCGGGAUUUUUAUGGCUCUUGAUUCCUUACGAUCCUGCUGUAUCGACGACGUGCUCUCCCAACAGACUCUCGUUUAGUUUCGAUUGAUUACCUCGAUAUAAUGGAGGCUUUGAAUUGGAGGCCUGAUAAUGUGAGUGAAUUAGUUCAUAACCAGUAAUGGGACGGACAAGUGUAGGUACCAUGGAGGACUCCUAUGUCUAUAGGAUGGAUGUCUUAACAUGUUACAUCUUCUUCACAAAGAAACUAAUUACCUCGAUAGAAUAAAUGGUUUAAUUCCCAUUUGAUUUGCGAGUGGGACUCAUGAAA